rnacentral:rRNA from 1 species
AGAGUUUGAUCCUGGCUCAGGAUGAACGCUGGCGGCGUGCUUAACACAUGCAAGCGAACGGAAGUUUAACGCUGACGAGACUUCGGUCAAAUCUUGUAAACUUUAGUGGCGGACGGGUGAGUAACGCGUGGGUAACCUGCCGUAUGCAGGGGGACAACAGUUGGAAACGACUGCUAAUACCGCAUAAGCGCACGGUUUUGCAUGAAACAGUGUGAAAAGAUUUAUCGGCAUACGAUGGACCCGCGUUUGAUUAGCUAGUUGGUGAGGUAACGGCCCACCAAGGCUACGAUCAAUAGCCGGCCUGAGAGGGCAAUCGGCCACAUUGGGACUGAGACACGGCCCAAACUCCUACGGGAGGCAGCAGUGGGGAAUAUUGCACAAUGGGGGAAACCCUGAUGCAGCCGACGCCGCGUGAGUGAAGAAGUAUUUCGGUAUGUAAAGCUCUAUCAGCAGGGAAGAUGAUGACGGUACCUGACUAAGAAGCCCCGGCUAACUACGUGCCAGCCGCCGC